UUACGGACAUAUCACGUUGGAACACCGGUUCCCUUACGAUACAAUUACCGAAGUUUACCAAUGUUGAGCCUGGUCAGUACCUAGAUGGGUGUUCCCUUGGGAAUACCAGGUGCUGUAAG